rnacentral:rRNA from 1 species
UUGGAGGGCAAGUCUGGUGCCAGCAGCCGCGGUAAUUCCAGCUCCAAUAGCGUAUAUUAAAGUUGCUGCAGUUAAAAAGCUCGUAGUUGAAUUUCGGGACCAUCAUGUCGGUCGUGCUUCGGUACGUACUGGUAUUGUUGGUUUCUCCCUUCUGACGAACCAUGAUGUCAUCUAUUUGGUGUUGUGGGGAAUCAGGACUGUUACUUUGAAAAAAUUAGAGUGUUUAAAGCAGGCUCACGCUUGAAUACAUUAGCAUGGAAUAAUGAAAUAGGACGUUUGAUUCUAUUUUGUUGGUUUCUAGGAUCGACGUAAUGAUUAAUAGGGAUAGUUGGGGGCAUUAGUAUUCAAUUGUCAGAGGUGAAAUUCUUGGAUUUAUUGAAGACUAACUACUGCGAAAGCAUUUGCCAAGGAUGUUUUCAUUAAUCAAGAACGAAAGUUAGGGGAUCGAAGACGAUCAGAUACCGUCGUAGUCUUAACCAUAAACUAUGCCGACUAGGGAUCGGAUGAUGUUAAUUUUUUAAUGACUCAUUCGGCGCCUUACGGGAAAC